rnacentral:rRNA from 1 species
UAGCGGACGGGUGAGUAACGCGUGAGGAUCUGCCCAUAGGACGGGGAUAACACUGGGAAACUGGUGCUAAUACCGGAUGAGCCGAGAGGUAAAAUAUUUUAUAGCCUGUGGAUGAGCUCGCGUCUGAUUAGCUAGUUGGUGGGGUAAAAGCUUACCAAGGCGACGAUCAGUAGCUGUUCUGAGAGGAUGAUCAGCCACACUGGGACUGAGACACGGCCCAGACUCCUACGGGAGGCAGCAGUGGGGAAUUUUCCGCAAUGGGGGGAACCCUGACGGAGCAACGCCGCGUGCGGGAGGACGGUUUGUGGACUGUAAACCGCUUUUAAUAGGGAAGAAUAGAUGACGGUACCUAUUGAAUCAGCAUCGGCUAACUCCGUGCCACCAGCCGCGGUAAU